rnacentral:rRNA from 1 species
AGAGUUUGAUCCUGGCUCAGGAUGAACGCUGGCGGCGUGCUUAACACAUGCAAGUCGAACGAUGAUCUCCAGCUUGCUGGGGGGAUUAGUGGCGAACGGGUGAGUAACACGUGAGUAACCUGCCCUUGACUCUGGGAUAAGCCUGGGAAACUGGGUCUAAUACUGGAUAUGACUGACUAUCGCAUGGUGGUUGGUGGAAAGCUUUUGUGGUUUUGGAUGGACUCGCGGCCUAUCAGCUUGUUGGUGGGGUAAUGGCUUACCAAGGCGACGACGGGUAGCCGGCCUGAGAGGGUGGACGGCCACACUGGGACUGAGACACGGCCCAGACUCCUACGGGAGGCAGCAGUGGGGAAUAUUGCACAAUGGGCGCAAGCCUGAUGCAGCGACGCCGCGUGAGGGAUGAAGGCCUUCGGGUUGUAAACCUCUUUCAGUAGGGAAGAAGCGAAAGUGACGGUACCUGCAGAAGAAGCGCCGGCUAACUACGUGCCAGCAGCCGCGGUAAUACGUAGGGCGCAAGCGUUAUCCGGAAUUAUUGGGCGUAAAGAGCUCGUAGGCGGUUUGUCGCGUCUGCCGUGAAAGUCCGGGGCUUAACUCCGGAUCUGCGGUGGGUACGGGCAGACUUGAGUGAUGUAGGGGAGACUGGAAUUCCUGGUGUAGCGGUGAAAUGCGCAGAUAUCAGGAGGAACACCGAUGGCGAAGGCAGGUCUCUGGGCAUUAACUGACGCUGAGGAGCGAAAGCAUGGGGAGCGAACAGGAUUAGAUACCCUGGUAGUCCAUGCCGUAAACGUUGGGCACUAGGUGUGGGGGACAUUCCACGUUUUCCGCGCCGUAGCUAACGCAUUAAGUGCCCCGCCUGGGGAGUACGGCCGCAAGGCUAAAACUCAAAGGAAUUGACGGGGGCCCGCACAAGCGGCGGAGCAUGCGGAUUAAUU